UACGAAGGGGGCUAGCGUUGCUCGGAAUCACUGGGCGUAAAGCGCACGUAGGCGGCUUUCUAAGUCAGGGGUGAAAUCCUGGAGCUCAACUCCAGAACUGCCUUUGAUACUGAUGAGCUUGAGUUCGGGAGAGGUGAGUGGAACUGCGAGUGUAGAGGUGAAAUUCGUAGAUAUUCGCAAGAACACCAGUGGCGAAGGCGGCUCACUGGCCCGAUACUGACGCUGAGGUGCGAAAGCGUGGGGAGCAAACAGG
rnacentral:rRNA from 1 species